rnacentral:rRNA from 1 species
GAUGAACGCUGGCGGCGUGCCUACUACAUGCAAGUCGAGCCAAGCGGGGACGGGUGAGUAACACGUGGAUAACAUCCUAUAAGACUGGGGUAACUUCGGAAAACCGGAGCUAAAACGGAUAAUUAUCAAUGAUUACUCGGUGCAGUAGCUAGUGGGUAAGGUAACGGCUUACCAAGGCAACGAUGCAGUGCCGAACGGAGAGGGGGGUCGGGCACACCGGAACGGAGACACGGGCCAGACUACUACGGUAGGCAGCAGUAGGGAAUCUUCCGCAAUGGGCGAAAGCCUGACAGAGCAAAGCCGCGUGAGUGAUGAAGGUCUUCGGAUCUUAAAACUCUGUUAUUAAGGAAGCGGUACCUAAUCAGAAAGCCCCGGCUAACUACGUGCCAGCAGCCGCGGUAAUAC